GAGUUUCAUCAUUUAUUGAACGCAUGACAAUAAUCUUUUCAACUCUAACAUUUUGAUGGGCAGUAUAAUAACAUAGUAACUGUUACCUUAACUCCCGAUGUAGACUCAUACUGAUAGGUAUGCUGAUUUUUCUACCGCGCCAUUCAAUAAAUAUAUGAAAGGUAUAUAUUAUUUGAUUUUAUGUUUUCCGUCGAUUAUAUGAUUAGCCCCAUGAAGGGACGGUUGGGUAGUUUUGCGGUUAAAGCGUUCGCUCGUCCCGCUGAAGACCCGCUUCGAUUCCGUACGUUGAUACAUAGUGGGAAACCAAUUUCUAGUGUCCCCGUCGUGUUAUUGUGUGAACAUUGCUGAAAGCGGCGCAAAAGUAAACUCACACCAUGAAAAACGUUUUGAGCAAACAAUGAUGAUGUCACAAAAAUAACCACAUACGUAUCGAAGGUUUUUAUCUCAUAGCAGCAUGUUUUGUUUUUACAAAUUCCAAUCUGCAGUUCAAUCUGCAGUGAUGUACAUAUAUAACCCAUCACGUAUAAUACUUAACACCUUUGUACCAUCAAAAGUGAUUUGUUUUAUAAACCGGCUUAAACCAUAUUCCAGAUGAGAGAGGUCUUGGUUGUCAUGCAGAAGCUGUCAUAUUGGUGUUUGUCUUUAUAUGCAGGACAAAUAAGUUGUUGACUUUUUGCACACUGUGAUGAAACAUAUCGGUUUGAACAUUUUAACAAUAAAAAUAUUUUUCGA